GAGGUUUUUUUCUUCUUUCCUUUUUUCUUACAGAACCUGAGAAAAUGGACAGCACUGUUGGGGGCUUGUGAGUUCCUGUCACAGUACUGAGCUUGAACAAUUUCGAUUAAAGCCCCAUGUUUGAGACUGUCAUUAGACCUGCAUUAAAUUACAUAUCUGGAGUGUUAAAAAAUAAAGAGUACAGUAGCUUUUUCUCAGCUACCUAAGGUGAGUGAAGCUGCAAGUUGAGGCCCUGUCCACAUAUAAAUACUGGAAGAGCUGAAAUCCAGGGAAACUGCUGAAAAAAAAAAUUGACAACAACAACAAAAGACUUUAUUUUUUAUUGCACAAGGCCCACAUAUGACUUUGAAUAUUUUUUAGUCUGUUGUUUGGUGACGCCUAAGAAGAGUCCUGCUGCCCCUGUUCCUCACCUUGCCUCCCGUGGAAAGGGAAUGAUGUGCACAGACUCUUGUUAUGCAAAGGGAAAAAACAAGGGACAAUAUGUUGCUGCUGAUGCAGGUGAUGCUGAUACAACCCAGCAGAAGAUCAACUUCUUCCUGAAGAUGGAGCGACUACUCCUGGUCCGUGAUAAGGGAACCCCUGUUUGGGGCUGCCAUGUCUCUCCCAAACUUUUGUUACCAGUGGAGCUUAGAACGUAGACCAUCUGUCACAGAGGAAUAUAAUGACAUCAACUUGUCCUCCAGUGCCACUGUAACACAUUUUGAGAGAAGUUCGCGUAUUUGCUGAGAACAUGUUCAGGGAUCCUCUUUCAGCUGCCCCUGCUUGAUUGCUCCCAGAAUGCACUGGCUGAUGCCUCUAUGGCAGGAAGUUUUCACCAGACAGCAUUUGCAAAUACUGGGGACAACAGGAUGACAACCCAGGAAAAGAGAAACAAAGAACUGAAUGAAAGGAACCUGCCCAUCUCACAGACACUCCG